UGGACCUCAGAUCAGGCAAGACCACCCGCUGAGUUUAAGCAUAUCACUAAGCGGAGGAAAAGAAACUAACAAGGAUUUCCCUAGUAACGGCGAGCGAACCGGAA
rnacentral:rRNA from 1 species